AANAUGCAGUCGAACGGUAGCAGGAAGGAAGCUUGCUUUCUUUGCUGACGAGUGGCGGACGGGUGAGUAAUNCUUGGGAAUCUGGCUUAUGGAGGGGGAUAACUGCGGGAAACUGCAGCUAAUACCGCGUAANGUCUUUGGACUAAAGGGGGCGUUUGCUCUUGCCAUAAGAUGAGCCCAAGUGGGAUUAGGUAGUUGGUGGGGUAAUGGCUCACCAAGCCGUCGAUCUCUAGCUGGUCUGAGAGGAUGACCAGCCACACCGGGACUGAGACACGGCCCGGACUCCUACGGGAGGCAGCAGUGGGGAAUAUUGCGCAAUGGGGGGAACCCUGACGCAGCCAUGCCGCGUGAAUGAAGAAGGCCUUCGGGUUGUAAAGUUCUUUCGGUGAUGAGGAAGGCAGUUUGGUUAAUAGCCAAGCUGAUUGACGUUAGUCACAGAAGAAGCACCGGCUAACUCCGUGCCAGCAGCCGCGGUAAUACGGAGGGUGCGAGCGUUAAUCGGAAUAACUGGGCGUAAAGGGCACGCAGGCGGAUUUUUAAGUGAGGUGUGAAAGCCCCGGGCUUAACCUGGGAAUUGCAUUUCAGACUGGGAAUCUAGAGUACUUUAGGGAGGGGUAGAAUUCCACGUGUAGCGGUGAAAUGCGUAGAGAUGUGGAGGAAUACCGAAGGCGAAGGCAGCCCCUUGGGAAUGUACUGACGCUCAUGUGCGAAAGCGUGGGGAGCAAACAGGAUUAGAUACCCUGGUAGUCCACGCUGUAAACGCUGUCGAUUUGGGGGUUGGGGUUUAACUCUGACGCCCGUAGCUAACGUGAUAAAUCGACCGCCUGGGGAGUACGGCCGCAAGGUUAAAACUCAAAUGAAUUGACGGGGGCCCGCACAAGCGGUGGAGCAUGUGGUUUAAUUCGAUGCAACGCGAAGAACCUUACCUACUCUUGACAUCCAGAGAAUCCUGUAGAGAUACGGGAGUGCCUUCGGGAGCUUUGAGACAGGUGCUGCAUGGCUGUCGUCAGCUCGUGUUGUGAAAUGUUGGGUUAAGUCCCGCAACGAGCGCAACCCUUAUCCUUUGUUGCCAGCGAUACGGUCGGGAA
rnacentral:rRNA from 1 species